UUUAAGAGAAAUAUUGUUUGCGAAGUAUUCCCCAUGAUUGUUGGUUCAUGAUAUGUUUGUAGUUGGUCUCAUUAAGUGCAGUACUGUAGUCUCAAUAAUAUAAUAUUAAUUUAUUGUCAUAGAUACAACGACCGUUUUUCCCAAACCAUAAUAUUUUAAUAACUCCAAAAUGUAUUAUGCUUAUACAUUUACAGAAACGCCUGACCGUAAGUCCGUUAAAUGUUUACUUAGUUUAUAAUUCAUAAUACUAAUCAUUUUAUGACUAUUUACGUUUAUAUAUUACUUUACGUUUACAGUUGUUAACAGUAAGUUCAUAUACGAUUUUAUAUUAUAAUAACACAUUAGUCAUUCAAAUACUUAAUCAGUAAAAUAUGCUCAUAACGGACACCCUAUAAGAAGAGGAUUUCCUAACAACAAAGAUUAUACCAACUGCCACGUAUAACCUAUGGAUAAAAUAUCCCUUAUGCCGAACAUCGAUUGAUUUCGCAAAAAAAAAGAUUUUCCAGUGUUUAAUAGACAGCCGUUCAAUAAACUUUUAAAGAAUACAAUUUAUUAUUUAUUGAUUAUCAACAAAUCACUUUAUGAUCAAUAUCAAUCCAUACCUACUUAUAAAUUCUUACUUCAUUUGACUAUAACACACUACCUACCUACUCAAAUCAUCAGAAACCUUCCAUAUUUUAAAUGUAUUAUUUAAUAUUACGAAUCUUACUGUAAAUGUUGAAUUAAAAACAUUUCUAAACAAGCAAAUAUUUAAUCAAUUUAUAAUUUGUUUAUACUUUUAGAAUGUACACGUUCGAUAUUAGACUUUAAAUAUGAUAAAGAUGGUCCAGUGUUUAAAUAUGAUG